rnacentral:snRNA from 1 species
AAACCAUAUAAUAAUAAUAAGAUUAAAAUAGAAUUCACCCGUUGCAACGCACGGGUAUUUUUUCUAGUAUAAAAAAAAUAAUUAUACAGAUUGCGUGCAAAAUGUGAUAUGAAUAUUUUAAGUCUAAUUGCUCCAUGAUUUGACAAUAUGGUGCUACAGUAAACAUUUA